UGCGUAGGUGGUAUGGCAAGUCAGAAGUGAAAACCCAGGGCUUAACUCUGGGACUGCUUUUGAAACUGUCAGACUGGAGUGCAGGAGAGGUAAGCGGAAUUCCUAGUGUAGCGGUGAAAUGCGUAGAUAUUAGGAGGAACAUCAGUGGCGAAGGCGGCUUACUGGACUGAAACUGACACUGAGGCACGAAAGCGUGGGAGGUAAACA
rnacentral:rRNA from 1 species